rnacentral:rRNA from 1 species
UACAGAGGUCCCAAGCGUUGUUCGGAUUCACUGGGCGUAAAGGGUGCGUAGGUGGUAGGGUAAGUCGGAUGUGAAAUCUCGGAGCUCAACUCCGAAAUGGCAUUGGAAACUACCCUGCUUGAGGGUCGGAGGGGGGACUGGAAUUCUCGGUGUAGCAGUGAAAUGCGUAGAUAUCGAGAGGAACACCAGUGGCGAAGGCGAGUCCCUGGACGACUCCUGACACUGAGGCACGAAAGCUAGGGGAGCAAACAGG